GACAGAGGAUGCAAGCGUUGUCCGGAAUUAUUGGGCGUAAAGCGCGCGCAGGCGGUCCUUUAAGUCUGAUGUGAAAGCCCAUGGCUCAACCGUGGAGGGUCAUUGGAAACUGGGGGACUUGAGUACAGAAGAGAAGAGUGGAAUUCCACGUGUAGCGGUGAAAUGCGUAGAGAUGUGGAGGAACACCAGUGGCGAAGGCGACUCUUUGGUCUGUAACUGACGCUGAGGCGCGAAAGCGUGGGGAGCAAACAGG
rnacentral:rRNA from 1 species